GGAUGGGCCCAGUUAGGAUUAGCUAGUUGGUAAGGUAAUGGCUUACCAAGGCGACGAUCCUUAGCUGGUUUGAGAGGAUGAUCAGCCACACUGGGACUGAGACACGGCCCAGACUCCUACGGGAGGCAGCAGUGGGGAAUAUUGCACAAUGGGGGAGACCCUGAUGCAGCCAUGCCGCGUGUGUGAAGAAGGCCUUCGGGUUGUAAAGCACUUUCAGCAGUGAGGAAGGUGGUGUACUUAAUACGUGCAUGGCUUGACGUUAGCUGCAGAAGAAGCACCGGCUAACUCCGUGCCAGCAGCCGCGGUAAUACGGAGGGUGCGAGCGUUAAUCGGAAUUACUGGGCGUAAAGCGCAUGCAGGCGGUUUGUUAAGUCAGAUGUGAAAGCCCGGGGCUCAACCUCGGAACCGCAUUUGAAACUGGCAGGCUAGAGUCUUGUAGAGGGGGGUAGAAUUUCAGGUGUAGCGGUGAAAUGCGUAGAGAUCUGAAGGAAUACCAGUGGCGAAGGCGGCCCCCUGGACAAAGACUGACGCUCAGAUGCGAAAGCGUGGGUAGCAAACAG
rnacentral:rRNA from 1 species